CCUAUAAUAACAUUUAAUCCAUUUUCAGUCAUGAAAGAGGAAAAGGAAGAGCGAACUAAGUAGUCUAUAUGAGUCUAGGAUAACGUUCAACAACCGGCUUGGAACAUAUUAAAAGAGAAGAGAUGAAGAAAAGUAAAAUAUAAGAGAAUUGUUUCCAAGACACAUAUUUUAUGUCAAUAGUUACAAAGUGGUCAAUUCUGCUCUGGAUAGAAUAUCAUAUAAUGAAAAGAAGGGAAGGGAAGAAUAUCUGGUUUGCAUUAAUUAAAUUCUAUACAAAACCUUCAAUGAACUGGAACGAUCUACUUGGAAAAAUACUCACUUUUGAUAAAGAUAAUCCUGCUGUGGAGGCCUUGGUUGUGGUUUUGUGUAAGGUGAGGCACUCUUGAAUUUUGCAGUUGCCAUUGUAUCUUGUUAGGAAUAUGAAAUAUUAAAUAAAUAAGUAAAAUAUGGAUCUCCGGAUUCGUCAAUCGGUAGAAGACAGUCUGGAACGAUGGGCCUGUUAUAUAUGUAUAUAAAUGAGCUGAUCAACGAUAGUGGGGAGAGAUGUGUGCGAUUAACAUACGUAAAUUCAUGAAAUAGCUAUGGUUCAAAUAUUGGCCUCAUUAAGAUAGCCAUCAAGCUGGCAUGAAUAUAUCAAAUACAGUUAAUCGUUCGAUUAAUAAGAACGAGUCCCUCAUUCAUAUAAAGCAUCGAAAUCGUCAAUGUCCAGUUGUAGCAAUUGUCUAACGUUACUCUGUUCAUUCAUUAACACCUAAUCGUUUCUGUAAUACAUGUAUCAUACAUGUAUUUCAAAAAUGACACAACUGAAACAAGUUUUUCAGGAAAAAUAAAAGACUAUUUGAAAGUU